CCUACGGGUGGCAGCAGUGGGGAAUAUUGCACAAUGGGGGAAACCCUGAUGCAGCGACGCCGCGUGAGUGAAGAAGGAAUUCGUUAUGUAAAGCUCUAUCAGCAGGGAAGAAAAUGACGGUACCUGAGUACGAAGCCCCGGCUAACUACGUGCCAGCAGCCGCGGUAAUAAGUAGGGGGCAAGCGUUAUCCGGAUUUACUUGGUGUUAAGGGGGCGUAGACGGCAGUGCAAGUCUGGAGUGAAAGGCGGGGGCUCAACCCCCGGACUGCUCUGGAAACUGUACGGCUGGAGUGCAGGAGAGGUAAGUGGAAUUCCUAGUGUAGCGGUGAAAUGCGUAGAUAUUAGGAGGAACACCAGUGGCGAAGGCGGCUUACUGGACUGUAACUGACGUUGAGGCUCGAAAGCGUGGGGAGCAAACAGGAUUAGAUACCCGAGUAGUC
rnacentral:rRNA from 1 species